rnacentral:rRNA from 1 species
GACGAACCGUGCAAACGUUGUUCGGAAUCACUGGGCUUAAAGGGCGCGUAGGCGGGCCAGCCAGUCUGUGGUGAAAGCCUCCAGCUUAACUGGAGAAGUGCCGUGGAUACUGCUGGCCUCGAGGAGGAUAGGGGCAUCUGGAACGGUCGGUGGAGCGGUGAAAUGCGUUGAUAUCGACCGGAACUCCGGUGGCGAAGGCGAGGUGCUGGGUCCUUUCUGACGCUGAUGCGCGAAAGCCAGGGUAGCGAACGGG